AUGCCGCCGCCGUCGCCCGUGCGCGUGGUGUCGUCGCGCACGGUGAAGCCGCCGGCUCGGCCGCGCGAGCGCAUCCCGCUCGCCUCAUGGGACGUCUCCAUGAUAAACGCCAACUACAUCCAGAAGGGCCUCCUGUUCCCCGCUCCCCCGCCGCCCUUCUCCACCGGCGCCGCCGUCACCAGCCACCUCGCCGACGCCCUCGCCGAAGCGCUCGGGGGCGACUACUACCCCGUCGCCGGCCGCUUCGUCACCGACCGCCACCGCGAUGACAGCGGGGCCGUUGUUGGGUGCUCGGUCUCUAUUGACUGUGACGGCCAGGGCGUCGAGGUCAUACACGCCGUCGCCGACGGCGUCGUGGCGGCCGACGUUGUCCCUCCGGACGCCGACGUUCCGAGUAUCGUCGAGGACCUUUUCCUGCUCAACGACGCAAUCAACUACGACGGCCACGAGCUCCCCCUCUUCGCCGCCCAGGUCACCGAGCUCGCGGACGGCAGCGUCUUCGUCGGCUUCGUCUGCAACCACGCGCUGGCCGACGGCACGGCCUUCUGGAACUUCCUCAAAACGCUGGCCGAGAUAUCGCGCGCUAGGCUCGCGCCUCCGGGGGCGCCGCAGUUGCCGACGUCGUCGCCCCGGCCCAUGUUCGAGCGCUGGUCGCCCGACGGCGGCACGGCGGCACCGGUCGUGCUGCCGUGCAAGGAUCUGUCGGAGCUCAUCGAGAGACCGGCACGGGUGCCGCUCCGCGGGCGCGUGCUGCACUUCUCGGCGGAGUCGAUGGCGGCGCUCAAGGAACAGGCCCGCGAAGAGCUCCUAGCGGCCGGGGACGCGGCGGGCGCGGCCGCCCUGACGCGGUACCAGGCUCUGACCUCGCUGAUUUGGCGGUGCAUCACCCGCGCCCGGCGGCUGGCCCCGGACAGCGAGACGGCGUUCCGCGGGGCGGCCAACAACCGCGGGCGGCUCCGGCCGGCGCUCCCGGCGGAGUACUUCGGCAACAGCCUCUACGCCGUCAGCACGGAGCCCGUGCGCGUGUCGGAGCUGCUGGCGCGCGGCGGGCACGGGCGGGCGGCGGCGGCCGUGGGCUGCGCUGUGGCGGCGAACACGAACGCGUCCAUCCGGGCGCGCGUGGCCGCGUGGACGGCGGACCCCGUGGUGACGGUGCGGCUGACGAUGAUGGGGGGCUCGCCGUGGUUCGACGCGUACGGGUGCGACUUCGGGUGGGGGAAGCCGACGGCGGUGAGGAGCGGGAGGGCGAACAAGAACGACGGGAGGACGGUGCUGUACCCCGGGCGGGAGGGCGGAGGCAGCGUGGACGCCGAGGUGUCGCUGUCCCCCGAGCACAUGGCGGCGCUCGAGCUGGACGACGAGCUCCGGGCCGCCGUGUCAUCCUCACGUGCCAAUUUUGUUUCGUUGUAA
rnacentral:rRNA from 1 species